GCUCGUUGGGCCAUUUUGUACAUAUUCUUUGAUUAAUAAAUGAGCUCCUAAGCUCAAUAAAUUCAAUUAAAAAAAACAGUUAGCAGACUUCAUCACAAAUGUAGCAAUAUAACAAGAGGUAGAGGGGAAACAACGGUAUCAACAUUUCAAUCAACUACCAAGCACAGCGAAAAGGAUUUUAAACAUGCCUAAACAGCAAAUAUCAACAAUCAGAAAACGGACGAGGAGAAUCAACAAUACCAUCAGUCACUAACAUGGAAAGCAUAGAAAAAGCUACAGAAUCACACAACUAUGAUAUUUACAAUAAAGUUGUGGAACCAGUUUUUGUUGAAGUGUAGGUAUCCAGCUAGGAGAUCAGCUAGAAGCGACUCAGGAAGAACAUGUCCUUCUUCAAUUGGGAUUCAGCUAAGGAAAUGGAAAAAUCAAUAAGGAGAAUACAUGAAAGAAAUAAAGUAGGAAAAGAGUGAUACUCACACAAAUCUACAAGCAGGAACACAUGAAUGAUUCUCUUACGAGUUAUCCCCAUUUCAGAAACCUCCACUGGAAGGUACACCUAGAAACAAGAAGCAUAUAAAAAAUGCAUAGGAAAAAGAGAGCAAUAGAUAAAUGGAGGAAAAUGUUACCCUUGCAAGCUGAGCAAGACAACUAUGUAUCCUUUGUCGUGAUCCCAAAAGCGAUGGAGGAGAAAAUCUAAGCUCAGAACCCAUGGAUACAUCCUCAUCGAUGAAGAUACAAGCGGGAAGAUUACGGAGAGAUUGAGCAUCUAUUAGGAAACCCUAUAAUCUAGGGUAUUAA
rnacentral:lncRNA from 1 species